rnacentral:lncRNA from 1 species
AUUCAGCUCUAUUUCAGUGCUUCUCUCCUCCCAGAGGUACAAGGAGUGAUCCUAGAGCCACAGCACAGAUACAGCCAAGACCACGGAGAGCUUUUGACGUCAGGGCUCCACUUUCUCCACUGAACCCUUGGAGACAGAAUACCCAGCUUCUGGAGAGAGUGGGAAAGGAUAAUAAACAAAUUUCUUUCAACUGGUAAACAUCCUACCUCUUCAGCAAAGGAAGUCCUCUAGCAGAGCCCUCAUGGACGCUAUCUGUCCCCGUGGCAGCACCUGCAGUGUGGAAGGCAGUGGUGAACGGACCCAUGCACUAUGUCUAGAAGACACAAGGAUGAGCCAGCCCACCUGAUCUUGUUACUUACAAACUUCCAAGAUAUACUCGGGUUUAUUUUUGGUCUGAAAAUGGAAAGGCUCAAAUAAUGAAGUAAUCUUUUCAUAUUGGAGUUUUACAUGGCCAUGAAAAUAUUUCUUAUUCUGAAGACUGAAAUAGAGGAAGCUUGAGAGUCUUGUCUUUCAAAGCAGCUCUCUGUAUCUGCUUGAAUUAAAAGAUUUGUGGGACUGAAAAUCAUUUAAUCACAUAGGCAACCCCCACUUUAAAAAGCAGCCUUUAAAAAAAAAAAAAAACACCACAGAGAGCUUGAGGAACCCGUCCACCAUCUCUCUUGUCACCCAUUGCUAAAGCGAAUAAAGGGUGAACCCAAGUCUUGAAGUGUUAGCAGGUACUCUUGGCUCAUCUCUGGCUGGUCCUGAGCCUUAUUCUUACUGUAGUUUAUGAAAUGAUGAAAGCCAUGGAGCUGUCUUGGAGGCCCAGUGGAGCCCAGUCUGUGUUCCUAAGCAGUAAACGCCUGUUAGGGUUGAAGGGCUGACUCUGCACUGUGGGCAUUGCGCCUCUUGAGAGAUGCAGAGCAGAGGUAGUGAACAGUCAGAGUGAACCGUAGGUGGGAAUAGGUUUCAAGGAAUUGUCCAAUUUACCAAUUGGCCGCAGCUGUCAAAAUGGUGAUUCUUUCUUUGGUUAUCAGGUAACUGACCAGUCAAAGCUACUAAGGAAAACGGUGACAGUCACCGUUAUUCCAACACCUUUUAAGUUGGAAUAAGUCUUAAGAAGAGAAAUCAUAGAAUUAAUAAUAGGAGAACUAAAAUGUUAGCCUCUCAACAUGGAAGACUAUCAGCUAAGAGAUAACCUGCUUUUAGUCUUUCUUGGCUAUAAAAACUAUUUCUUAAUUAUAACUCAUUUUUCAAAAGUUUUAAUGCUUUUAAAAGUAAAUAUUAAAGAUAAUUUUGAACUGAAAAAUUCCCCACAGAACUCUGAAUUCCUGUAGAAUGAUGACAGCUUUGUUGUCCUGCCUUAGUAAGAUAGCUUACAAGUGGAUCUAAACAAAAGUUGGAUUUGGAACUGAAACUGGGAUUUACUAGACAUCCUGUUGUAUUCUUUAAACCACAGUAGGAGCCAUUUUAUGCCUGAGCCCACUAGCCUUUUGUCUCAGCACUGAAGACAGAAAGUGAUUUACCCUUGGAAUCUCAAGCUUUAAUGAAUUUCAGCUCUGUUCCUUAAAGUAUGCAAACGAGAUGUUAGUGCAUUCCUAUUACCUCAUACG